rnacentral:rRNA from 1 species
GAUUUCUGGUACUGGCGCACUUGGCCCGCUUCGGUUACGAGGUCGAGUGCCGGUGUGCGCCUACCAUCCUUUCUAAAGAUCCCGCUUUGUUCCCUUUAAUGGGUUGAGGUGUGGUUUAAAAUCUUUAGAUCAUUUACUUUGAAAAAAUUAGAGUGUUUAAAGCAGGCUUUUGCUAUGAAUACAUUAGCAUGGAAUAAUAAUCUAGGACUUCGGUUCUAUUUUGUUGGUUUCUAUAACUGAAGUAAUGAUUGAUAGGGAUAGUUGGGGGUGCUAGUAUUGGCCGGCCAGAGGUGAAAUUCUUGGAUUCGGUCAAGACUAACUUAUGCGAAAGCAUU